rnacentral:rRNA from 1 species
AUGGCAGUAGUGGAAACAGAUUUGAACAACACUUGUCAGGGGGUUGCCCUGUCGGCGCCGGCGUCCGAGCAAUCUACAGGGAAGGACGACCCUGAAGCCCCUGGCUGGACGCGAAGAAUCCGUGUUGGGCGUGUGCCUGAUGAAUGGCCCCCAUGUGCUGCCAGGAUGAGUGCAUUGGAGCUAACAAUACGAAGCUAUGCAGAGAAAAAAACUGAAACUGUGAUAGUUCCUGCUAUGGGAGCCAGUUUCGAUACGCUGGGGAAGCUUAUGACUACUACAAUCUAUAUUCAUGGGAGGUUGGGUUCAGAGUGA